rnacentral:rRNA from 1 species
GACGAACGCUGGCGGCGUGCUUAACACAUGCAAGUCGAACGGAAAGGCCCCGCUUUUGUGGGGUGCUCGAGUGGCGAACGGGUGAGUAACACGUGAGUAACCUGCCCUUGACUUUGGGAUAACUUCAGGAAACUGGGGCUAAUACCGGAUAGGAGCUCCUGCUGCAUGGUGGGGGUUGGAAAGUUUCGGCGGUUGGGGAUGGACUCGCGGCUUAUCAGCUUGUUGGUGGGGUAGUGGCUUACCAAGGCUUUGACGGGUAGCCGGCCUGAGAGGGUGACCGGCCACAUUGGGACUGAGAUACGGCCCAGACUCCUACGGGAGGCAGCAGUGGGGAAUAUUGCACACUGGGCGGAAGCCUGAUGCAGCAACGCCGCGUGCGGGAUGACGGCCUUCGGGUUGUAAACCGCUUUCGCCUGUGACGAAGCGUGAGUGACGGUAAUGGGUAAAGAAGCACCGGCUAACUACGU